rnacentral:lncRNA from 1 species
ACUCCCUCUAUUGCCUCUCCAGACCCAGACUUCACCCUCAGGUCACCCUCACCUGGACUUUGGGGUGCCCCACACCCCGCCCCAGGCCCUGGCCUCUGGAAUAUUUGGAAACUUGAACUGGGCCAGAGGCUUAAGCUCACAUCUGUCUGGAGCCUCAACUUUCUCCUCUGUAAAAUGGGCUAACACUGAAAGAACCUUGCAGAAUCUCAGCAACGUCACAGAGGACAUUGUUAGCACAGCCAGCGGGCUCCUGCUGGGCUGAGUUUGUGGGUAAUCCAAGCCUCGGCAGGUACAGUUCCUCCCUCAGCCCAGUGCAGAUGCAUCUGACUUACGAAACUUCAGUGACACCUGCUCUGUGCCAGACACUGAAGAUGGAGCAGUGAACAGCACUGACCCAGCCUGUCCUCCUGUUGCCUGCAGGCCAGAAGCAAGGUCUCGCUGUGUUACCCUGGCUGGAGUGCAGUGGCUACUUACAGGCAUGAUCAUAGCAUACUGCAGCCUCGAACUCCUGGACUAGAGCAGUUCUCCUGCCUCAGCCUCCAGAGCAGCUGGGACUGCAGACACGCACCACAGAGCCCAGCCUGAGUCAUUUUGAUUCUGUAACUGGCUUCCUCUCGGCGGGCAGGCUCACACCCUCCACCCCCAGCUGGAGAUGGAAGGAGGAUGCUCACCGCCCAUUCCUCAUGCAGGCCAUCGAUGGAAAUGUCAGACAGUGCGAGUCCACGCCUGAACACUUCUGGGGUCCGCUCUGGGACUGACACUGGCAGAUCCAUCGGUGAGCUCCCGCCUGCCACCUCUGGGCCUGCAUUGCGGUGAUAGGGCCAAGGGCCUGGGCCUUCAAUUCUCCAGACUUGCCAAAAUGCUCAGCGCAGGCCUCGUCGGCAACUGCAGACAAGCAGAGGCAGCACCUGGGCUCUGCCUGUGCCUGGCACAGUGAAGCGAGGGUGGGGGCAGGAAUGAGGGUCCUCUCCAUGCAAGGGGGGAAGAUAGAAGAACAAAAUUUCACCCUAAUGUAGUGUCUUUAGACCGUGCAAUGUUGUGCUCCUGUUAGUCUGAUAUCAGGGGCUUGCAGCCUGGCAAAGGAAAAAAAACAGGCUGAGGCACAUGAUAGAAGACAGGCAGGGAUGCCACAAUCAUAACCAUGGCAAAGACCAGGAUCAGAAAGGCCCACCAUCUCUGACCCCAAAUCCCUGGGCAGAUGGUUCCAGAACUCAGAAUUUUCCCAGUUGUAGAAAGAUGGGGCCAGGUGCAGUGAUCCGCCUGCCUUGGCCUGCGAUAAAAUUGCACAGAAGUAAAUACACACACGUGAGGAUACGGAAAACCGGGGAAACCUGAGCAAGAGCAGUCAGACCCCGGCUGUGAUGGCGCCCAGUAGUUCUGCGAGAUGUUACCAUUGGGGAAACUGAGUGAAGGCGGGUACCUGGGAUCCCUCUGUUUUCUUUUUUGUUGUUGUUGUUAUUUUGAGAUGAAGUUUCCCUCUUGUUGCCCAGGCUGGGUGAUCCACCUGCCUCGGCCUCCCAAAGUGCUGGGAUUACACGCGUGAGCCACUGUGCCCAGCCUCUCUGUUUUAUUUCUUCUUUUUUUUUUUUUUUUUUUGGAGACGCUCUGUCGCCCAGGCUGGAGUGCAGUGGCACGAUAUUGGCUCACUGCAAGCUCCGCCUCCUGGGUUCACACCAUUCUCCUGCCUCAGCCUCCCGAGUAGCUGGGACUACAGGCGCCCGCCACCUCGCCCGUCUAAUUUUUUGUAUUUUUAGUAGAGGCGGGGCUUCACCGUGUUAGCCAGGAUGGUCUCAAUCUCCUGACCUCGUCAUCCGCCCGUCUCGGCCUCCCAUAGUGCUGGGAUUACAGGCAUGAGCCACCACGCCCGGCUGUUUUAUUUCUUAUAACUGUACAGGAAUCUACAAUGAUUGUAACAAAAAUUUCAAUUAAGGCCACUCUAGGCACAUGGCCUGUGGGGUAGCCCUGCUCAACAAGAAGCCGUCAAAAAAAUGUUUUUUAAUUAAAAAAUUUCUUCAAUUAAAAAGCGUUAUCUUCCUCUGCCCGGAAAGGGUUAAGUGAGUCACUGCAGUUAGCUCCCCUUCCCCCACAACCACCUAGACCAGGCCAGGGACCAGCGGGCAAUUGCCUGGCAGCUGGAGUUUUCCUCCACUGUGGACUGUACUUCUUGCGUCACUCUGAAUGUCUCCAGUCUUUAUUCCAGAAUGUUCUGGUCCUCUCCCACUUUUCCAAGGACAGGAAUUCCCUAGUGGGGCUCCAGAAGAGGCUCUGGAGGAGAACAAGAAAGGCCCUUGUCAUCCAUUGGCCUCAGGCUGGGAAAUCUCGGUUCCACUCCCAGCCCAGCCUCAAUAUUAGGUUGUCAGUCUGGAGUCUGAGAGCCAUGCCCCCACCCCCUUAGUCCUUCACCUCCAGGAGAGUUGGGGAUACUGGAAAGAAUGUUGAGUGUCAGAGCCCCUCUCAGUGGCUCACGCCUGAAAUCCCAGCCCUUUGGGAGGCUGAGGCAGGUGGAUUGCUUGAGGCCAAGAGUUCAAGACCAGCCUGGCCAACGCGACGAAACCCUGACUCUACUAAAAAUACAAAAAUUAGCUGGGCGUGGUGGCACACACCUGUAAUCCCAGCAGCUCGGGAGGCUGAGGCAGGAGAAUUGUUUGAACCUGAGAGGUGGAGGUUGCAGUGAGCUGAGAUCACAACACUGCACUCAAAAAGUAGUUAAUUAAUUUAGUUUAAUUAAAAAAGAAUAUUGAGUGUCAGGCAAUCUGGGUAGAACCCAUUGUGUUUCUACAGGAUAGAAUCUGCUGUGUUCUCUAGCGGAACUUCCGGAUCACCUUCACCGUAUGACUCUAGACAAUCCCUGUCCACUCUUCAGUUUUAGAUGCCCCAUUCAAAGAAUGAAAGAAUUGUCCUAGAUGAUCCUUUAGGGUCUUCCAGGCUGAUGACAAGGGGGACCUGGCCCCUCUGCUGCUGGCCAAAGAGGACUUUACUUCCCAUUCCGUGUGGUUGAACAAGAAUUGCUGGGCUCCAGUCCUGCCUUUGGCCCUUCCCUACAUGUGACCUUGGGCCCUCUUUGCCUUUCAGAAUCAAUACAGUGAGAGAGUUAACACAAGCUCAGGUUAGUAAGUCAUUCAACAAACAUUUACUGAGCGCUUAUCAAAUACUGCAUGCUGGAGUGGACACUGGAGAAAAAGGUGAGGAGAAGGCCGGGCGCAGUGGCUCGUGACUGUAAUUCCAGCACUUUGAGGGGCAGAGGCAGGUGGAUUACCUGAGGUCAGGAGUUUGAGACCAGCCUGGCCAACAUGGCAAAACCCCGUCUCUACUAAAAAUACAAAUAUUAGCCAGGCAUGGUGGUGCAUAUCUGUAGUCCCAGCUACUCAGGAGGCUGAGCAGGAGAAUCACUUGAACUCAGGAGGUGGAGCGUGCAGUGGGCCGAGAUUGCACCUCUGCACUCCAGCCUGGGCAACAUAGUGAGACUCUGUCUCAAAUAAAUAAAUAAAGUGAGGAGAAAAAAAUACCAUCUCUGUCUUCACAGAACUUAUAGUUUGAGAGGGGAGAAUCCCACAAGUAAAUUAUAAAUCUCAGCUGAGAUUAUGCAAAGAAGCAAAGGCCGGACGUGGUGGCUCACGCCUGUAAUCCCAGCACUUUGGGAGGCCGAGACGGGCGGAUCAUGAGGUCAGGAGAUUGAGACCAUCCUGGCUAACACGGUGAAACCCUGUCUCUACUAAAAAUACAAAAAAAUUAGCUGGGCGUGGUGGCGGGCGUCUGUAGUUCCAGCUACUCGGGAGGCUGAGGCAGGAGGAUGGCGUGAACCCAGGAGCACAGGUUGCAGUGAGCCGAGAUGGCGCCACUGCACUCCAGCCUGGGCGACAGAGCGAGACUCUGUCUCAAAAAAAAAAAAAAAAAAGGAAGCAAAGUGCCCAGCUGGGAUGGUGGUUUCAGAGGCCACAGUGGGAGCUUCCCAGAGAAGGGAUGAUUGAGCUAAGUCUAAGCAAAAGGGGUGGUCAGGGCAGCAGCUGCUCCAAAACAGGGGCUGGGGGCUUAUGUGGAGAGAGAAGACAUGGAGAGACCAUGCCCAGAAGGAGGCGGCGGCUUCAGUGAACAGUGCAGGGGAGCAGGUCCGAGGAGGCCGCCUACCAGGGGAAGGAGUCUCAUCUCCAUCCUAGACAAAAAAAGGAUCUUUUGAGAUGCAUUAAGCAGGGGAGUCACAGAUUGGAUUUGUGUUUUGAGAAUCUCCUGCUUACCUAGAGAAGAAGGGCAUCUCCUGGGCCCUCACUGUUGCCUUAAAUGAUUUUUAUUGUGUAUUACUUAAACAUGUGCAAGCAUAAAAUGAGAUAUAAACUCCUUGUAGCUCUUAUACAAGCAUCAGACCAAGACAAAUUGACCCAUCACGUACAAAAUCGAUUCAAAUCAGAUUAAUUUUAUGUGACAUGUUAUUAUGCCUUUUGUCUGAAACCCUGCCACCACCCACAGUGCAAUUAUGGCCCAACCACUGUGGUGUUCUGAAUUUGUGGGACAGAGAAUAUUGGCCUUUUAAACACGUGCAUGCAUGCAUUUGCGUGUGCGCACACACACACAUCCCAAAUGAUUUUUUCCCACUAUAUAUGAAGAACUCCUACAAACCAAAAAGAAAAAGGCAGACAAUUCAAGAGAAAAAUGGGGGAGGGCUUGCAUUAAAGUACUUCAUAACAAGAGUACUUAGGAGGCCAACAAAUACACGAAAAGCUGCUAGCUUCAUGACUCAUGGGGGUGGCUUGGUCAGUUCAGGAUACUGUAACAAAAUACCUUAGACUGGGAAAUUUAUAAACAACGGAAUUUAUUGCUCACAGUUCUGGAGGCUGGGAAGUCCAAGAUCAAGGCAGCAGUAGAUCCGGUGCCUGAGCCCGUUCCCUGCUUCAAACAUGGCACCUUCUUGCUGUAUCCUCACAUGGUGGAAGGGGGAAGACAGUUCUCUGGGGCCUCUUUUAUAAGGGCAGUUAUCCAAUUCACAAGGAUAGAGCCCUCAUGACCUAAUCACCUUUCAAAGAUCCCCAUCUUCUAACACCUUCUAACACCAUCACCUUGGUGAUUAGGUCUUUUUGUUGUUGUUGUUGUUGAGAUGGACUCUCACUCUGUUGCCUAGGCUGGAGUGCAGUGGCGUAAUCUUGGUUCACUGCAACCUCUGCCUCCCGGGCUGAAGUGAUUAUCCUGUCUCAGCCUCCCAAGUGGCUGGGAUUACAGGCGUGUGCCACCAUGCCCGGCUAAUUUUCAUAUUUUUAGUAGAGACAGGGUUUCACCAUGUUGGUCAGGCUGGUCUCGAACUCCUGACCUCAUGAUCCGCCCACUUCGUCCUCCCAAAAUGCUGGGAUUACAGGCAUGAGCCACUGCACCCAGCCGAUUAAGUCUUAACGUAUGAGUUUUUGGGAGAAACUCAAACAUUCGGACAAUAGCAAGGAGAAUACAAAACCACAGUGAGCUACCGCUUCAGACACCAGAGAAGUUUAAGUGAAAAAGACUGGCAAUACCAAGUGCUGAUGAGGAUAUGGAGCAACCAGAACUCUCAGACAUUGCUGAUGGGAAUCUAAAUUAGUAUAACCACCACGAAAGCAUCCGUAAGGUUUAAUUGUGUUGAACACACCCUGCCCUCUGACCAAGCAUUUCCACUCCUGGGCAUACAGGCAAAAGAAAUGCAUCCACGUGUUCAUCAAAAGAUGUAACCUGUGCCAGGUGAGGUGGUUCAUGCCUGUAAUCCCAGCACAUCGGGAGGCCAAGGAGGGAGGAUUGCUUGAGCCCAGAAGUUCGAGAGCAGCCUAGGCAACAAGGCAAAACCUCGUCUCUACUAAAAAGUAGCCAGGCAUGAUGGUAUAUGCCUGUAGUCCCAGCUACUCAGGAGGCCAAGGCAUGCAGAUUGAUUGAACCCGGAAGGUGGAGGCUACAGUGAAUUGUGAUCUCGCCACUGCACUCCAGCCUGGGUGACAGAGCAAGAUCUUGUCUCAAUUAAAAAAAAAGGAAGAAAGAAAGACAUAACCUGGAAUAUUCACACCAACACUAUUCAGGAUAGCCCUAAACUGGAAAGAAUCUGAAUAUCCUCCGGCUUUAGAACAGAGAGAAAUUAUAGACUAUUCAUUCAUACAGGGGAUGAUUGAUCAGCUUUAAGAAUAAACAAACCGUACACAACAAUAUAGAUGAAUCUACAACCUUAAUGUGCAAAAUAGUUCACAUAUAUAAAGGACAAAAACAGGCAAAACUACUCCAUGGUGUUAGAAAUAGGGGUAGAGGUUACCCUCAUGCGGCAGGAGGGUUAGUGAUAGGGGAUUUGGAAGAGGAGGAGCCCAAUGGACUGAACAGCUGAGCUGGAAACAGCAAUUUGUUCCUUAAAGUUCUGAACCCAACUGUUAUCCAGCAUGGAGUCUGUCUGGAGAGGCCAGAUGUGGGGCCUCUCACAGGGGAAUGAGAAGUGCCUCUCAGGGUCCCACCCAUGAUCCCCCUUUCCUUGCCCACACAACCACCAACUGGCAAGUAGUAACCCAGGACCUGUAGCCCCCACUGGCUUGACACAGAGCAUAAUGCAAGCUUUUCCUGCUCCAGGUCCUGGACACCACUUUGCCCUUUGCCCCACACGUACAGCCCCCUGACCAAAAGCUGGGUACUCUGGCUUGACUAGAGGGAGCUAGACUCCAGGAAUAAGUAAGGAGCUGGGCUUCCACGCUAGAGAACAAGAGCUUCUCUGGGGAAAGGGGCUUCCCAUGAAGCCCUGGGGCACUGGGAGAUUAAUGGGCAGACCUCUGGCCUCAGCUUCCAGGGAAGGGGAGGGUGUGGGCCAACAUGCGGUGGCUACACUGACCACAAGCCGAUGACCCCAGCCAGCCUCAGGAUGUCUCAGCUCUAGGCAUGGUUUUUCGUUUUGUUUUGUCGUGUUUUGUUUUUGAGAUGGAACCUCGCUCUGUCGCCUAGGCUGGAGUGAAGUGGCACCAUCUCGUCUCCCUGCAACCUCCACCUCCUGGGUUCAAGCGAUUCUCCUGCCUCAGCCUCCUGAGUAGCUGAGAUUACAUGUGCGUGCCACCUUGCCCAGCUAAUUUUUGUAUUUUUAGUAGAGAUAGGGUUUCAUCAUGUUAGCUAGGCUGGUCUCAAACUCCUGACCUCAAGUGAUCUGCCUGCCUCAGCCUCCCAAAGUGCAAGGAUUACAGGCAUGAGCCACCAUGCCCGGCAUAGGCAUGGUUUUGACAAUCUGUCUCUUUGUGCCCUGGCUCCUUCUCCAACUCCUCUUUGGAGGAGGCACAGGAGGAGGGGUCAUUUCACUGUUCCUGAAAAGUAGACAUAUAACCUACAUGCAACUGCCAGGUGAUAAGGGCCCCAUCUGUCUGGCAUGACGUUGGAGGUCCACAAAGGCUGAUUAGAUGAAUGCUCAGCUCUGGGGCCUCCCCACAGAGCUCACAGACAGGCGUGAAGGAAAGCAGGACUCUUAUUAGAAUAUGUUCAGAGUUUUCACUGAAGAAGCCUCCUGUGUGGGCCAGGCACUGUGCUCAGUGCUUUGAUUCACAGUCUCAUUUAAUUCUCACCAUUUACAGACAAGAAUUCAGCUAAGAUCCUUUUCAAUCAAGUCUGGCAAUAUCUGCCUUUCAAUGGCAGUGCCUAGUCCUUUCAUAUGUAAUAUACUUAUCAUUAUGGGUGGGUUUAAGUUUUAUCAUCUUGCUAUUUGUUAUCUAUUUGUCCCCCCUCUUUUGUUCCUCCUUUACUGCCUUCUAUUUGGUUGAGACUUAAUAAAAUAUUUUAUUCCAUCUUCUCUACUUACUUUUUAGCUAUGCCUCCUUAUAUUUUUGGUUGCUGGAGUGUUACAAUAUGCAUUCUUCAAUAUCCAGUCUACUUUCCAAUAAUAUUACACCACUUCAUGUAUAACGUAAGAACGUUACAAAAAUAUAAUGCCAGGGCUGGGCGCAGUGGCUCACGCCUGUAAUCCCAGCACUUUGGGAGGUCGAGGCGGGCAGCUCACCUGAGGUCAGGAGUUCGAGACCAGCCUGACCAACAUGGAGGAACCCCAUCUCUACUAAAAAUACAAAAUUAGCCGGGCAUGGUGGCUCAUGCCUGUAAUCCCAGCUACUCAGGAGGCUGAGGCAGGAGAGUUGCUUGAACCGGGGAGGUGGAAGUUGCAAUGAGCCAAGAUUGCGCCGUUGCACCCCACACUGGGCAACAAGAGCGAAACUCCGUCUCAAUAAAUAAAUAAAUUAAAUAAACAAAUAUAUAUAUAUAUAUAUAUGUAAUGCCAUCACAUCUUCUCCGGCCUUUGGUGUUAUUGUGGUCAUAUACUUUAUUUUUGUAUGUCUUAUAGAUCCCAGAAUGCAUUGUUAUUUUUACUUUAAAAGGUGGAUUAAUUUUUAAAGAAUUUAAGAAAAGAAAAACAGUCUUUGGACUGCUGGCCACAAAUUCUCUGUUUUAUUUAUCCCCAAAUAGUUUUAUUUUUCCAUUUUGAGAGAGAUUUUCACUGAUACCAUUCGGAGUUAACAGAUUUAUUCUUUCAUCACUUUUCAGAUGCCGUUCCAUUGUUUGCUGACUUUCAUUGAUUCUAUGAGAAGUCUGCAGUCUUUUGCAGCGUUGUUUUCCUAUGUAUAAUUGUCUCCUCCCACCCCACUCACCCCAGCUGCUUUCCACAUUCUCUCUCUUUGAUUUUCAGCAGUCUGCCCAUGAUGUGCCUAAAUAGGACUUUCUUUGCAUUCAUCUUGGCUGGGGCUCACUGAACUUUCUGAAUCUGUAGAUUAAUUUUCUUUUUUCAAUAAACCUUGGAAUAUUUUCAGCAUAAUUUUUUUCCUGUCUUCUUCUCUCUCUUUUCUCCUCUGAAAUGCCAAUUAAAUAUAUGUUAGACUGCUUUAUCCUGCCCCACAACUUACUGAGGCGAAAUUUUUCAAUCACUUCUCUUUGUGCUUCUGAUGACACUGGUGGCCCAUCUGGAGUGGCCGCUGCCAUCACACCAGCUGCAGGGGGAGGUGCAGCCAGGCUGCACAUUCCAUGGAGCCAGCAGGAACUGCAGACAGGUGGGAGCCCCACCUCUUCUGAGCUAGUGGGGCAGGAGCUCCCUGGAUGCAGCCGCAGCCACCCAAGUUAUGCCUGUGGACCCGGGCCUCCCACUGCAUGAAGCAGGCAGAAACCCCACCCCACUAGGCACAGCUGCCACCCAAGUUGUGGCUGCAGACCCAGGGCUCCCUGGGCUCCUGCUAGGGGCAGGAGCAGGCAGAAGCCCUGCC